GGGCCCGUAGCUUAGCCAGGUAACCUUUUUCCGCUCCAUAGGCUUUGCCUAUUCCGCGAAAAAGCUUAACCAAAAAUGAGGCGGCGUGCGCUCACUAUGUUCGCUUAGCCGCGUUGGGUAAUGGAGUGCCUGACUGAUAAUCAGGUGGUCCCGUGUUCAAAUCACGGCGGGCCCA
rnacentral:tRNA from 1 species